rnacentral:rRNA from 1 species
AGAGUUUGAUCCUGGCUCAGAUUGAACGCUGGCGGCAUGCCUAACACAUGCAAGUCGAACGGUAGCAGGCCUUUGGGUGCUGACGAGUGGCGGACGGGUGAGUAAUGCGUAGGAAUCUGUCUUUUAGUGGGGGACAACCCAGGGAAACUUGGGCUAAUACCGCAUGAGCCCUGAGGGGGAAAGCGGGGGAUCUUCGGACCUCGCGCUAAGGGGGGAGCCUACGUCUGAUUAGCUAGUUGGCAGGGUAAAGGCCUACCAAGGCGACGAUCAGUAGCUGGUCUGAGAGGACGACCAGCCACACUGGGACUGAGACACGGCCCAGACUCCUACGGGAGGCAGCAGUGGGGAAUUUUUCGCAAUGGGGGCAACCCUGACGAAGCAAUGCCGCGUGGAUGAAGAAGGCCUUCGGGUUGUAAAGUCCUUUCGUGGGGGACGAAAAGGUGGUUCCUAAUACGAGCUACUGUUGACGUGAACCCAAGAAGAAGCACCGGCUAACUCCGUGCCAGCAACCGCGGUAAUACGGGGGGUGCAAGCGUUAAUCGGAAUCACUGGGCGUAAAGGGUGCGUAGGCGGUACGUUAGGUCUGUCGUGAAAUCCCCGGGCUCAACCUGGG